rnacentral:rRNA from 1 species
AAUAAAUGCUAUCGGUAUGCUUAACACAUGCAAGUUGAAUGUUUUUUAAAAACAUAGCGAACGGGUGAGUAACACGUGAAUUAUCUACCUUUUAAUUCAGAAUAAUUAUUUUUAUAAAAAUACUGAAUAAAUAAAUUAAAGUUUUUUUAACGUUAAAAGAUGAGUUUGCGCAAGAUUAUGGUAGUUGGUUGUUUAAAAGACUACCAAGCCUAUUAUCUUUAGCUGAUUUGAAAGAAUGAUCAGCCACAUUGGGACUGAGACACGGCCCAAACUUUUUUAAAGGCAGCAGUGGGGAAUUUUGGACAAUGAGCGGAAGCUUGAUCCAGCAAUACCGAGUGAGUGAUGAAGGCCCUAGGGUUGUAAAGCUCUUUCACCGGUGAAGAUAAUGACGGUAACCGCAGAAGAAGCCCCGGCUAACUUCGUGCCAGCC